GACGAACGCUGGCGGCGUGCUUAACACAUGCAAGUCGAACGGAAAGACCCUGCGUUUGUGGGGUGCUCGAGUGGCGAACGGGUGAGUAACACGUGAGUAACCUGCCCUUGACUUUGGGAUAACUUCAGGAAACUGGGGCGAAUACCGGAGAGGAGCUCCUGCUGCAUGGUGGGGGUUGGUAAGUUUCGGCGGUUGGGGAUGGACUAGCGGGUUAUCAGCUUGUUUGUGGGGUAGUGGCGUACCAAGGCUUUGACGGGUAGCCGGCCUGAGAGGGUGACCGGCGACAUUGGGACUGCGAUACGCAGCAGAAUCGUAUGGGCCGCAGGAGUGGGGAGUCUUGCACAAUGGGCGGGAGCCAGUUGCAGCAAUGCCGCGUGCGUGAUGAUCGGCUUCUGGUUAAAAACCACUGUCUCCUGUAACAUAGCCUGAGUGACGGUAAUGGGUCAAGAAGCCCCGGCUAACUACGUG
rnacentral:rRNA from 1 species